rnacentral:lncRNA from 1 species
GGGCUUUGUGCCGUAUGUCAUUUCUGGUUUUACUAAUUCGAGUACAAGACUCAAAACGAUGCACAUUUGUGUAGAGCAGUCGCAUAGCAAGAAUCUCGAAGGAUUAACAAAAACUAAAAUCCAAGAAUCACAACAAUAUGCUUUCUGAUUCUGUACUAAAAAGAGUAAAAUCAAUCGAAAACAAUUCAAGACCGUCGUGAUCUAUGAUCAACCAUCGUUGCUUCGUGUGAAUCGCAGACCUGUGUCUUGAAUUUACAUCCGAAUUUUUUGGUAAUCGACCAACUUCUCGGCCGAUCAGUCGUCGUCGCCGGUGAUGAACCUUCCUUAUCAAUCUUCGCGAUCACUUUCUUCAUGUUCGAGCACUCUCUCUCUAACCGAUGAACACGCGUCCUCAUCGUAUCCAUAUCCAAGCGAAGCACCUGAUUCUCUCUAACCGUCUUCUUCCAUUUCCCAGCGUCCACCUGUCUUUCUCCUUCCGCUUCAUCACCGUCCUCUUCCGUUAUCGUUAGAUUCCUUAUUGCCGCUGACGGUCUUGGCUCCGUUGACUGUGACGUAGACGGCGAUUGAGCAGCUAAUAACGUCCCGGCGAUCGCGUGCCGGAGUUGUAACUGCUCGAAGAAGAGAACUUGUACGACGGCUCGUAGCGGAAGCCGCUCGUUUUGCGCGGCGUGUGUGCACGCUUCCAACGUCAGUUUCUGACAAUCCAUCACGCCGCAUAUUUUCUCUCUCUCUGCUUCCGAUACCCAUGGAUGCGCCUAUUGAAGAAAACGAAAUUUUCAAAACAAAUCAGAUCCAAAUUCUCCGAUCUUCUCUUCACAUUGAAUUUUAUUGUUAUACCUUGAGAUAUACGUCGACGGCUCUGUAAAGUCCGUCAUCAUAGAGACGAGCUUGAUCUGGGAGUGAGAUGGCUAGAUUGUAGAACUUAUCCGAUUUGAGAUUAGCGUCCGAUGCGAUCUCCGCGAGAAAUCCGUCGAUUAAUUUCCCGACGAGCAUCAGCGACGGAGAUUUUCCGUCAACUUCGACUAUGGCGGUGUUGGAUUGUUCCAAGGUGUCGAGAAAGUGGCCUAAGAUUCUCUCUACCAAAUCAACAUCGUAUAAAGUCUCGUUGAGGUAUGAGUAGCUAGGGACGAGCAAAUCGUCGAGCGUGGCUCUCUCUAGCUGCGAUCCGAUCUUUCUCUCCAGCAGAUCACGGCAAAUCUCGGCGGCGUUGAGGAUGAUUGCGGUUCGUAAUAAGCCGAAGAGGAAUCUCGUUGUUGAGGAGAUGGAGCUUUUAUCUAAUGGAAGAUUAGAGGUUAUUGUUUCCAGUAGUUCUCUCUGUUCAUUCUCUGAAACUGCGGUUGAAGAUGACGAUGGCGGUUUCCGGUUAGAACGUAGAAUCCCGGGAAUGUGCUUCUUAGCGUAACAAAUCAAACAGCUCUCUAUGAUAUCGGAGCUCAGAUCUCCUGAUCUCAUUGAUAGGAUCACAGUUUUGAAGAUCGGAAGACUCAGUUGCGUCAGAUCUUCAAACCACAGCUCCAUGUUCGAAUCUCUACUCGGUUUCUUUCGAGAUUUCGCCGCGCCGCCGGGUAUAAGUUGCAGAUCGGUGGCGGAGAUGUUUCCUCUUCCGCCGCCAUCGUUUACUGGCCAACCGAAGAGUGAAGGAUCAGCUGAGGAAGCUCUGGAGACUAUAGAGUCGAUGCACUGUUCCGUUAUACCAAGCGAUCCGGCUAAAGGAGAGACUGACUCACAAGCUUUGAGAGCUUUAAUGGAUUCACGCAAGCUCUUGUAGACGGAAUGAGAGAGAAACCUCUCAGUCUUGGAAAUUAGGUUAUCUGGUGAAUACUCUUCCGUCAUUUCGAGGUGUUCGGCGGCGCAACGAAGUGGAACAACGGUGGAAGCAGAGAGGUCCAUCUUGACGCCGUAGCAGAACUUCGCCACCAUCUCAAAGCUCUCUGAACUACCGGGAAAAUCCUCGAGUUUGAUGUGAGGAUAACCAUUUUCUUCGAUCUCCUGCUCUUCCACUUCUUCUUCUUCUUUAUCGUCCUCGAUUUCAUGGCCUUUACCUUUCUUGUCAGUCUCUUCUACUUUUGGGUCUAUUACAGUUAUCAGCGCCAUGGAAGAGGAAGAUCUAGUCUCUUGCUCUGUAAUCAACCUGUGAAGUUUCCUGCUCUUUGACAUGAGUGGAAACUGGAAAAGCCACAGACAACAACACAAAUCUUGUGAGUAAUCAAAGAAAAAACAGAGAGUGCCAAAGAAGAAGACAAAUCUUCAGGCUUUUGUGAACGCACCUUAUGGAGAUGGAAUGUCAUGUCAUCAACUUCGAUUUCAAUGUCACUAGGUAACCCAGUCGUACAAAACCUGCAUCACGAUACCAAAACGAAAAAAAAAAGGAAAUGAGAAAAUUUCUUUAGGCAACAUUUUAAAAUAUUAUUAUUGUUAAGAUAAGUGUUAGCUGAUCUUCACCAUGCUUGGCCCUUGGAGGUAGAUUUCUCUGACGCCAUUAAUGGAGACAACAACUCAGGGCUCUGAAAAAAAUAUCACUCAAGACAGGAAAAAAACAAGACUCUCUCUAUCUCUUUCUAAAGAGGAGAAUAUGGAGAGAACAAGAAGGGGAAAGGGAAGGAAUUGGAAUCCUAAAUCAUAAGAAAGAGACACAUUAAAAGCAAAGAAAAACAUUAUUCGGAUAUCGAAAAAGGGGAUCUCGUUUUUGAUCCAUCUUUUUAUUUUCUUUAAUUUUAAUAAAAGUUAAUGUUUAGUUGGAGAACAGCAAGAAUCUCAACUACUCUCAACACGAGACACAUUUUCAGAUAAAUUACGCUUUGGGAGAAGCAAAAAUCCCACUCAUUUGUUAAUCAUUUAAACUAAUUCUUU